GGAGGCUGACACAGAAACGUGGCAGGCGUGGAGGAGUAGAACAGAGGCAGAGGACGACUUAAACUCCCGUCACACUCUUUGCCAGAGUCUGCAAAACAAGAUAAAGACCUCUUCAGUCGACAGGCUACGCAGAGGUACAUCCAGGAUUGUUCUGUUCUAUGUUUCUGUGAAACGAGGCUUGGACAGAGGACCCCUGAUGAGACCAUAACACCGUCAGGUUACACUGUUUAGCCAACCGCAGUGCUAUAGAAUAUGAUAGAACCUGCAGGGGAAGAACAGCGAUCUUCAUCAAACAAUCCUGCGACAUGGACAACAUGGUAACAUCACAGUUAUGUUCUGAAGACGGGGAGUAUAUUGGGCCGUCAUAUUUGUCCAGAGAACUGCACAGACAAAGACACUCGCAUUCACACCUACGGGCAAUUUAGAACCACCGAUUAACCUGAGCAUAUUUUUGGACUGUGGGAGGAAGCCAGAGCACCUGGAGAAAACCCACGCAUGCACAGGGAGAACAUGCAAACUGUUGGCGAAGGCCGGGACGCGAACCAGGGAUCUUCUAGCUGGAAGGCGAAAGUGCUAACCACCGCGUCACUGUGCAACAAAUGCUACAGCAACAUUCAGUUUUUUGGGGGAAGUGUGACCUAUUCUAUUACAGGCGACCUACACCAAAAGGUUCAAAACUGAUGGAUUCUGCAUGAUGUGAACUGACAGAACUGCGAGGGCUGUUUGGAGGCCAUAGCUAUGAACAUUUUAAGGAAGCCACAGAUAGUUUACAUGACUACACAGCUAAUGACUAGCGCCAUCUGCAUCCUCUACAUGACUAUAUAGCAGUCAGCCACAACAUUAAGACCACUGACAGGUAAAGUGAAUAACAUCAAUCAUCUUGUUACAAUGCACCAUUCUGCUGGGAAACCUUGAGUCCUGACAUUCAUGUGGAUGUUUGAUGUGCCACUCACCUAAGCAUUGCAGGUCAAGAAACCACAGACAUCGUUAACACCUCUCUUACACAGAAAGCAGUCCCAUGCAUCUUUAAGUCCUCUCCCAGUCCCCCCAAAAAACAAACACCAGCUACCAUUAAGUGUCUGGAGAAGCUGGUUUUAUGACAGAUAAACUCUGCAGUUCCUGACACAGUGGACCUCCUUCAGUUUGCCUACAAUUCAAAUAGGUCAGUGGAUGACAUGGUGACACUGGCAUUUCACUUAUCCUCCAGCACCUCCAUACUCACAACACAUGUACAUGGCAACUGUUCCUGGAUCUUGGCACAACUGUUUUUUUCCAACCACUGCCACUAUCUGGUUAGUGGCUCAGGACAUUGAGGGGAAAGGGGUACCUCACUCCAAAACCCAUUCAAACUCUGGACAUUUAGCCACCUCUCUGGCCAUUUCUUAUCUCCCCAAAAUCGAUGUCUUUGUUCUUUACCAAUUUGUGUGCAAUAUGACUACGGUCAUCUUGCUAAUGUUAUGAACCAACAUGUGCAAUAUCUCACCUGUACGAUAUAAAAGGUGCAAUAACUACUCACAGUAUUUAUUAUUUAACAUUUCUAUACAGUGUACUUUUUCGAGUGUGUACUUAUUUUAUUCUUAUAAAGUAUAUUUGUACAUAGCAAUCAUCAUAUAACUGCCAUCUUGGAUACCACACAGAAUGGGGAACUCUCCCGUUUGCAGGAAAGACCUCCAUUACUGUCACAGAAGUGAACUACAGCAGGAGUCUGUUGUAAUCAACAUCACCAUUGGUAACUCUCUGGAGCAAAUGGUACUACAUUUAUUUCUUUGCCGUAAUCUCAGACCUCCUGUGGAGGGAUGAAACUACAUAUGGCACAAUUAACACCUUGGAAGACCACAACUUCAAAGGCCCAGUGACUCUCAUGGAGUUGUCUAUUCUCCUGCUGCCCUUUCUGUUCAUUCAACCUCCCUAUAAACACAGACACUCUAACCUCCCCAGAAAGUAGGACAAUUGAUAAGAAACAACCAUAAACUGUUGCUGCAUACAAUGGGGGAUAUGGAAUGAGGCUCACAUUUUUACAUUAAUGUAUACAUGGGCUAAAUAACUGCUUUUCUGAUCUCUGUUUUGUGUGCUUGUACAUACCGAAGUCCCAAAAAGAAAUUCCUUGAUCAAUUAUCCAAAAAUCACCUCUGCAGGUGAUAUGGGGACAAAAUAUACAAAAUAUACAAAAUAUUCAUUCCUUUGCAUGGACCCAAAGUGCCAUCUAGUGACAUUGGACGGUCCGGCGAUAUCGGGACUGAAUCAAUAUUAACAACAAUAUAUACCAUUGAUUUAAUGUGUGAAAUGUGAAAUUGGUAAUAUUUACCACUGUACACUUCACUAAAUGUGCCAUAUCCUUCCACAAUAACAUAUUCUUAGCAUCUAGGCAUAUUUAUGUCUUGUCUGUAUGUGUUGAGCUGAAUCUCAGGACAUGGGACCUUUAAAAAAAAAAAAACAAAAAAAAAAAACUACACUUCCCAGAAUGCACUGGUAGCAGCAAGGAGGGACCUGACACCUGGUGCUUGACAGCUUGACACCUGAUCAGUGAUCACUGAUAUAGAGCACCUGGGAAGGACUGGGGGAAGCUCAGCCAGUCUGGCAAACACACUUCAGAAGAGAGACACGAGGAAAGAACAAAGAAGAGCCAAGUCCACUCAUGGAUUCAGUCCAAAGACGCCAAUGGUUGGUGAAAUGUUUAUUUGCUUUUUAUGUGCAAGUUUAUGUUAACUGCACUGUAUGAUUGGUUGAUUUAAAUGAUUAAGAGACUAAUAUGUAAACUUUUUGGUUCUGUGUUUGAUGCUAUGAAUGUUGUUUCUUUCUUUAAAGGUUUACAACCUAUUGAAAUACUCUGACCAACCAACUAGAAGGAAAAUAAAGUUUUGUGUUGGAAGUUUAAAACUGAGUUGUCCUCGCGUCCUUUGGAGGGAAAGAGAGGUGGACUUAACAGUUGUAAACCACGCGGAGCAGCCUGGCCCUGAGGAUAAACGGCUUCAGAACCAGAAAUAAGCUGUUGACGCAGAGGAAGUCAAGAUGGCGGAAGAUGUCCUGGGGAAGUCGGUCAAGGAGCUCAAAAAAGAGAGGACCACUGCAAAAAGCAGCUUCACCAGACAAGCCAACUUCAUUUCAAGAGGAGCAAGCAGCAUGCUUCAAGUGGAAUUAAAGGAGGAAUUCACUAAACUUUCAGACUGUUUCAGAAAGAUGCUCAAUGCCAAUGAUGAUUACCGGAUUGGACUGGAGGCUGACAUUAAGACUGAGAAUGAGGAGGCAGAUCUUGAUGAACAGCAAGAGGCCGAUAUUGACAGAUCUGUAAAAGAAGGUGAAACAAAGUUAGCAGAAAUAAGAGACAUUGUUCAAACAAACCUGUGGUCAAGGUACGGGAAGAGUGAACUUGAUGUGGCAAUCCUGGAAGCAGAAAAAGCCGCUGAUAGAGCGGCUGGUGUAACUGUGGAAAGCAGCAAUUUGGAGGGCUAUGAAGUGCACCUCAUUCUCUUGGACAAAAGAGUGAAGGAGGCCAUCUCAGCAAUGUCAACAUGGGAGAGAUGGAUCCCUGCGGAAUUAAAGGAUGAACUGGAUGGAAGAGUCAAGGAUGUGAGAGCAUCCUAUUACAGCCUUGAAUUAAGGAAAGCUGACUUUGCCACUGCUCGGAUGAGGGAUGAAAAACUCACAGGAGUGAAACUACCACCCCAACUGGCAACGCCCACACCAAUGGUGAGAAUCCAGCCAAUCACUCUACCUAUCUUCAAUGGAAACAAGAGAGAAUAUCACAGAUGGAGGAAAGACUGGGAAAGCCUGCAAAAGCAGGGAGAGCCAUCUGGUUCAAUUGAAGUUAAGAAAAUUCAACUCUUGGAGAGUGUGGAUGACAACAUCUCAAAAGAUCUCAGACUUUCCACCUAUACCACUGCCAAUGACAUGUUCAGAGUUCUGGAGAACAGAUAUGGCAACAAGUUAACCAUCACUGUGGAAAUCCUUGAAGAGCUGGAGAAGAUGCCACAUGUGAAGGGGAACCAGCCAAGAAAGGUCAUUGACCUCAUACAGUCAGUGGAGAAGGCCCUAGCAGAUCUCACAGAAUUAGGAAACUCUGGAGCCAUAAAGAACCCACUGGUAGUUAAAUCCAUUGAAAGUAAGUUGCCUGACUUUAUUAAGAGAGACUGGCUGAUGUUCAUGGUCGAACCUAGAAACAACGUCACAUCAGACAACCACUUUGACAUGCUUUUGAAGUUCCUGAAAAGUCAAGAAGAAAUACUAGAGAGACUCGAACAGCUCAGGACUGUGGAGAAAACGGAGAAGACAGAUCGUUUUGACAAGAAGUACGAGAGAAAGAUUGCCUCAACAAAAACCACAAAGAAGGAAGAACUUGAUGAGGUAUGUGGUGUUUGCGGUGAUGGUGGGCACAACAACAAAAUCUUCUUCUGUAGAAAGUUCAAAAGACUUAAGCUACCUGAAAAGAAAGCUGUAUUGAGAAAGCUGGGAGCAUGCAGGAAAUGUCUUGGAUGCCAUGAUGAAGAUGGAUACUGCAGAGACACUUUCCUAUGCAGAAACAAAGACUGUAAAAGGGGAGGCGAUGCCCCAGACCACCAUUUCUUCCUCUGCCCAAAAGGAGAAGUCAAAAGAGGUGAAGAGGAAAGGAGUGGAAAAUACAGCAAAGGUGAAAGCACACUGACGGAGGAACAAAAGCAGAUCUUGUCUGAACUUACCCCAGAAAUGGCAGAUCGAUGCAGGAAAGCUUUUACCAACACCAACAAGACCACGGGGACAUUCGAUGCUUCAGGCCAGUCUGACCUACUGCAGAGAAAUGGGCUCGCUGAACUUCCUGUCAUUAUGAUGUUGAUGCAAGUCACUGCAAAUGCAGGGCAGAAAAUUGGGACUUUAAUUGACCUUGCUUCAGAUACAAACUACAUCACCCAUAAGGCUGCUGAAAGACUGAGGUUAAGAAAUGAGAAGAUAACCUUAGUUGUGCAUGGAGUUGGUGGAAUGACCAUGAAGGUGAACACACAAAGGUAUCUCCUCAAAGUCAGAGUCAAGACUCCUAAAGGAACAGAGAGAGCUCAUGAAAUGGUCUGCUACGGCUUGGAUGAAAUCGCCAGAGUGCAUCAAGUAAUUGAACCUGAGCAAUUGAAAAAAUUCUUCCCAGAAGUCAAACUUGAAGAAUUGGAAAGGCCAGAAGAGGUUGAACUUCUCAUUAGCCACCGAGAGGGAAGGCUCGCUCCCCAGAGAGUGAAAGUCAUUGGAGACCUCGUCUUGUGGGAGGGUCCAUUGGGGAAAACAGUGGGUGGAGCGCAUCCCGACUUGUUUGAAGAAGUGGAGGUGGCAGCAUAUGAGUCCAAGACACACUUUGCUCGCUCCAUGAGGACAGCAGCUGUCAAAUAUCAAGAACUCAGAAUUCAUUCGACUGACAUAGCCCAGCUACAGCAGGAGGACAUGGCUCAGACCAAAUUCACAGCUUCCAGUAACCGUAACUUCCUUGAGUGGUGGCACUGGGACAGCAUCGGCGCUGCUUGUGAGCCAAGAUGUGGAGGAUGCCGAUGUGGAAACUGUCCACCAGGAGGAAAAGAAAUGACCCUGGCAGAGGAGAUGGAGCUUGAUGUCAUUAAAAGAGGCCUCACCUACAGAAAAGGAGAUGCUCACACACCAUCUCCACACUGGGAUGCAAAGUAUCCUUGGACAGUAGAUCCAGCCUCUCUUCCAAAUAACAAAGGUGCAGUCCAAGCUUGUUUCUUAAGGAUGGAAAAGCAACUGAGCAGGGAGCCAGACUGGAAAGUUGCAUAUGCUACACAGAUCCAUGAAAUGGUGGAACGAGGUGCGGCCAUACAACUCACCAACGAAGUCAUGGACCAGUGGAACGGACCAGUGUGGUAUGUAAGCCACCUGGUGGCACCAAACCCUCAUUCAGUGACAACACCAGUUCGUAUUGUAUGGAAUAGUAGCCAGAAGUACAAAGGCGUGAGCAUGAAUGAUCUUCUUCUGAAGGGACCAGACGUCCUCAACCCUAUCAGAGCUGUUUUGCUGAGGUUCAGAGAAGGAAUGCAUGCAGCUCUAGGAGACAUCAAAAAGAUGUACAACUCUGUAUGGCUGGAGGAUCGCGAGAUGCAUCUUCACAGGUUCCUCUGGAGGGCCAGCCCAGAUGAAGAGAUAAGUGAAUAUGCAAUUACCAGAGUCAAUAUAGGAGACAGACCGGCUGGUUGCAUUGCUCAGGUGGCCAUGAGGGAAACAGCCAGCCUGCCCAACUUUGUUCACUUGGAGGUUGAACGCAGAGUCAUUGAAGAGGACAGUUAUGUGGAUGACCUUUUAACCUCCCACAAUGACUUAAACAAACUCAACAAAAUCACAGCAAAUGUUGAAGAGAUCUUGAAGGCUGGUGGUUUCUUCCUCAAACCAUGGGUCCGGUCAGGGCAGAGUGGGAGGCAAGGGAUAGAGACAGAGGCUCUAACAAAGAAACAAGAUAGAACCUUUAUUCUUCCAAAUCAAAUGAGGGAUGAAGACAACAAAGCUUUGGGCAUUGGCUACCAAAUUGAUGAAGACAAGCUCUACAUGUUAACCUCAGUUAACUUUUCCAAAAGAAAGAAGAAGAUGAGGAUUGGAAAAAAUCUUCUCAAAGAGGAGGUGAGAACUGAGACACCUAAUCCACUGACUAGGAGGGCUCUCUUAAGUCAAGUGGCUGGACUGUAUGACCCAAUUGGCUUAGUUACACCUGCCAAACAGAAGGGAGCAAUUCUUGUUAGAAAGGCAUUCCAAGAGGGAAGGGGUGGCAAGCUAACCCAAGAAACCUGGGACCAACCUCUUUCAAACAGUCUCAGAGAAGAAGCCAUACAGCUUUUUGAAGAAUAUGUGCAGCUUGGACAGGUAAAAUUCCACAGAAGCCUCACGCCAGCUGACUGGAAAGGAAAACCUUGGGGCAUCACAUUCUCAGAUGGAAGUGAAAAAACCUAUGGAGCGGUUAUGUACAUAAGAUGGGAGACAAGUCAAGGCACUGAAGUUCGAUUGGUGGAAUCAAAGGCCAAGCUGACACCUCUGGAUCAGAAGGGAGAAGCUGUAAAAGCUGAAAUCUGUGGUGCUGUCUUCGCUGCCAGGAUCAGGAAGUAUGUGGAAAAACAUGCUCGAAUGAAGAUCGAGAGAUGGUUCCAUCUACUUGACAGUCAAACAGUCUUAGGAGCCAUUCAAAGAGACAGUUAUGGGUACAAAACCUUCUUUGCAAAUAGAGUGGGUGAAAUCCAGAAGGCUGGACCAGUGCAAGACUGGUGGUGGGUCCGUGGAGAGAUGAACAUAGCUGAUCUCAUAACAAGAGGGGGCACUCCUGAAGAUUUGAAGGAGGAUUCCAUAUGGCAAAAUGGACCAGAGUUCCUGAAGUGGCCUGUGGAGGAGUGGCCUAUAAAAUCAGCUGGUGAGGUCGCAGCUCAUGCCAGGGAAAGUGUAAACAAGCUUCAGAGGAAGGCUUUCUCAAGUGCGUUAACAAGAGCUCAAGCAAGGAGUCGUCAGCAGAAGGAGGACCUACAAACCACUCAAAGUCAAAAAAGUGAAGCCCAAGAGGAAAAACCUGUGGUAAAACCAACUCUUCUUCUAAGAAGGAAGCCCACUGGCUGGGUUAAAGAUACUGUGGAAGUAAGAAGAUUCAGCAGCCUGUCCAAACUGGUGAGAGUCGUCGCCUGGGUUUGCCUAGCUGCCAAGCAGUGGCUGAAGAGGAAGUGUCGGGCCCCAAAACAGUCAAAGUGGGAGGAAACAUCACCCAAGCAAGCUGUGCUGACUGUCAGCGAACUUGAAGAUGCACUCAAUGACAUCUUCCUUGCAGCUCAAGAAGGUGCAGUUUUUCCUGACACAACGCUAAGCAGAUUAGCGGUAUACAAGGAUGUAAACUCUGGACUGCUAGUUUGUGGAGGCAGAAUUCAAAUGUUCAAUGAAGAUAAGACGGCAGUACCAGUUUUACCCUUUGAAGCAUGGGUGUCUACAUUGCUGGCACAAGAAUCCCACAAAGCAAACCACGAAGGAGUGGCAGGAACUCUUCUCCGGAUGAGGAAGAAAGCCUGGGUGAUAAAAGGCCGAAGACUUGCUAAGAAAACGGUUGACAGCUGUGUGGUCUGCAGAAAACAUAAGGCAAAACAGUGUCAACAAAUCAUGGCUGACCUGCCUCUGGAACGAACUGGCCCAGCUGCACCUUUUGAAUUCACCACCAUGGACCUGUUUGGCCCUUAUGAAGUUAAAGAUGAGGUCAAGAAGAGAACUAGACUCAGAGUAUGGGGAAUCGUCUUCUGCUGCAUGGCUUCCCGAGCCAUACACACUGAAGUGGUGAGUGACAUGUCAUCAGAAGGAUUCCUGCUAGCCUAUCAAAGAUUCACUUCACUGAGAGGACACCCAAGGAAACUCUGGUCAGACCCAGGCACUAACUUUGUAGGGGCCAAGCCUGCUCUGGAACAGCUUCACAAGUUCCUUGACCGACUAAACAAGUAUGAACUUGAAGACACAGCUGCCAAACAUGGAACAGAGUGGUCUUGGAAGAUCCACCCUGCAGACUCCCCGCAUAGGAAUGGUGCAGCAGAGGCAGCUGUUAAAGUAGUGAAGCGGGCAUUAAGCAACCUUGGUGGAGAUGGCGUUUUUUCAUGGGGAGAAUUCCAAACGUUCCUCUUCAUGGCAGCCAACCUUGCAAAUGAGAGACCCAUUGAUGCAAGAACUCAAAGCAGAGAAGACUGUAUAGAGUACAUCACACCAAAUUCUCUGCUUUUAGGACGUGCAAGUCCAAAGGGAGACCCUGGAGAUUUCCAGUUUGAAGGCUACCCCUACAAAAGACUUCAAAGUAUCCAAGCGGAAGUAAACAAAUUCUGGAGGAAGUGGAGCCAAUUGGCUGGCCCUAAUCUGUUCAUAAGGAACAAAUGGCACACCGAAAAUCGAAACGUUGCUGUUGGAGAUGUGGUCUGGUUGGCUGACCAAAACGCCUUGAGAGGACAGUACAAGCUGGCUAGAGUGGUCAGUGUUAAUGCUGACAGCAAAGGCAUUGUAAGAGAUGUGCUUGUGAAGACUUUUCCCAGCUAUCCUGUUCCCAUCACAAAGCCAAAUGACAAGAAAGGGCCCACAAAGGAAAAAAGUGCAAGAACCAAGAGGCUUCAGACGAAGAUCCCAGCCACAAUUCUUCAUAGAGAUGUCAGACGUCUUGUCAUUCUACUUCCCACUGAAGAACAAUGAGAGGUGUAAAGGACUUGUGACCUCGCUGAGUUUGGAAAAACCAGGAGGUCAAGUGGGAGGUGUUGAGCUGAAUCUCAGGACAUGGGACCUUUAAAAAAAAAAAACAAAAAAAAAAAACUACACUUCCCAGAAUGCACUGGUAGCAGCAAGGAGGGACCUGACACCUGGUGCUUGACAGCUUGACACCUGAUCAGUGAUCACUGAUAUAGAGCACCUGGGAAGGACUGGGGGAAGCUCAGCCAGUCUGGCAAACACACUUCAGAAGAGAGACACGAGGAAAGAACAAAGAAGAGCCAAGUCCACUCAUGGAUUCAGUCCAAAGACGCCAAUGGUUUACAACCUAUUGAAAUACUCUGACCAACCAACUAGAAGGAAAAUAAAGUUUUGUGUUGGAAGUUUAAAA